rnacentral:rRNA from 1 species
AGAGUUUGAUCCUGGCUCAGGAUGAACGCUAGCGGCAGGCUUAMYAYWUGCAAGUCGAGGGGUAACAGGAGUGCUUGCACACGCUGACGACCGGCGCACGGGUGCGUAACGCGUAUAGAACCUACCUUUUACAGAGGGAUAGCCUUUAGAAAUGAAGAUUAAUACCUCAUAGUAUUGAGAGUUGGCAUCAACUUUCAAUUAAAGAUUUAUCGGUAUAAGAUGGCUAUGCGUCCUAUUAGCUAGAUGGUAAGGUAACGGCUUACCAUGGCUAUGAUAGGUAGGGGUCCUGAGAGGGAGAUCCCCCACACUGGUACUGAGACACGGACCAGACUCCUACGGGAGGCAGCAGUGAGGAAUAUUGGACAAUGGGUGAGAGCCUGAUCCAGCCAUGCCGCGUGCAGGAAGACUGCCCUAUGGGUUGUAAACUGCUUUUAUACAGGAAGAAACACUCGGACGUGUCCGAGCUUGACGGUACUGUAAGAAUAAGCACCGGCUAACUCCGUGCCAGCAGCCGCGGUAAUACGGAGGGUGCAAGCGUUAUCCGGAAUCAUUGGGUUUAAAGGGUCCGCAGGCGGUCAAUUAAGUCAGAGGUGAAAUCCCAUAGCUUAACUAUGGAACUGCCUUUGAUACUGGUUGACUUGGGUUAUACGGAAGUAGAUAGAAUGUGUAGUGUAGCGGUGAAAUGCAUAGAUAUUACACAGAAUACCGAUUGCGAAGGCAGUCUACUACGCAUAUACUGACGCUCAUGGACGAA